GACGAACGCUGGCGGCGUGCUUAACACAUGCCAGUCGAACGGAAAGGCCCUGCUUUUGGGGGGUGCUCGAGUGGCGAACGGGUGAGUAACACGUGAGUAACCUGCCCUUGACUUUGGGAUAACUUCAGGAAACUGGGGCUAAUACCGGAUAGGAGCUCCUGCUGCAUGGUGGGGGUUGGAAAGUUUCGGCGGUUGGGGAUGGACUCGCGGCUUAUCAGCUUGUUGGUGGGGUAGUGGCUUACCAAGGCUUUGACGGGUAGCCGGCCUGAGAGGGUGACCGGCCACAUUGGGACUGAGAUACGGCCCAGACUCCUACGGGAGGCAGCAGUGGGGAAUAUUGCACAAUGGGCGGAAGCCUGAUGCAGCAACGCCGCGUGCGGGAUGACGGCCUUCGGGUUGUAAACCGCUUUCGCCUGUGACGAAGCGUGAGUGACGGUAAUGGGUAAAGAAGCACCGGCUAACUACGUG
rnacentral:rRNA from 1 species